rnacentral:rRNA from 1 species
GAUGAACGCUGGCGGCGUGCCUAAUACAUGCAAGUCGAGCGAACAGAUGAGGAGCUUGCUCCUCUGACGUUAGCGGCGGACGGGUGAGUAACACGUGGAUAACCUACCUAUAAGACUGGGAUAAUUUCGGGAAACCGGAGCUAAUACCGGAUAACAUAUUGAACCGCAUGGUUCAAUAGUGAAAGACGGUUUUGCUGUCACUUAUAGAUGGAUCCGCGCCGCAUUAGCUAGUUGGUAAGGUAACGGCUUACCAAGGCAACGAUGCGUAGCCGACCUGAGAGGGUGAUCGGCCACACUGGAACUGAGACACGGUCCAGACUCCUACGGGAGGCAGCAGUAGGGAAUCUUCCGCAAUGGGCGAAAGCCUGACGGAGCAACGCCGCGUGAGUGAUGAAGGUCUUCGGAUCGUAAAACUCUGUUAUUAGGGAAGAACAAAUGUGUAAGUAACUAUGCACGUCUUGACGGUACCUAAUCAGAAAGCCACGGCUAACUACGUG